rnacentral:rRNA from 1 species
AUUGAACGCUGGCGGCAGGCCUAACACAUGCAAGUCGAACGAGUGGCGGACGGGUGAGUAAUGUCUGGGAAACUGCCCGAUGGAGGGGGAUAACUACUGGAAACGGUAGCUAAUACCGCAUACCAUCGGCGGGGCCCAGAUGGGAUUAGCUCGUAGGUGGGGUAACGGCUCACCUAGGCGACGAUCCCUAGCUGGCCUGCGCGGAUGACCAGCCACACUGGAACUGAGACACGGUCCAGACUCCUACGUGAGGCAGCAGUGGGGAAUAUUGCACAAUGGGCGCAAGCCUGAUGCAGCCAUGCCGCGUGAAUGAAGAAGGCCUUCGGGUUGUAAAGUACUUUCAGCGAGGAGGCGUUACUCGCAGAAGAAGCACCGGCUAACUCCGUGCCAGCCGCCGCGGUAAUAC